rnacentral:lncRNA from 1 species
UUUGUGUUGGCCAUCUGCGAUUUGGUUGAUACAGCUCUGCCUGGGACUUGGUUGAUGCAGAUCCGUCUGCGAUUUGGUCAAUGGAGGAGAUUGAAAAACAAAAGGCUCAUGAGCGAUACAUAUGGUUGCACCGUUGCAGGAGCAGGGAAAAACUGAACAAGCAAAGAAAGAUUUAGCCAUUUAGUUCUGAAUUUUCAGCUUCAGCCCCUACAACCAAGAAGAAAAAGCAGAAAAAAUGAUCCAAUUCACUCAACAAUCAAGGCUGCACAAAGAUUUAAUAUUGAUGGAAGCCUUGUUGCAUUGAGGAAGCCAUGCUGGAAAUUUGUUUGAAGUUGUGCACUUUGAUGAAAUGUUGAUGAACUAUUUUAAUUCAAGUUAUUUGUUUCCGUUGGAGACUUUCAAUUCAUUUUAGUUUACUGCAAAUUGAUGCAGCUGCAUUGUUCUGGAUGGACUAUGGACAAUCUAUUGCUUAUUUUUAUUUCUUUGCAUUGUUCUACAGUUUUGCUUUGAUAGUUUGAGAAUUGUUGGAAAUUGCUGAUUUGCAAUUAUGAUGUUGAAUUGAUGAUUGUUAUAUAUGUAGAUAAUGUU